rnacentral:rRNA from 1 species
CAGAAAGACCCUAUGAAGCUUUACUGUAACUUGAAAUUGAAAUUGGACUUUAUUCGCGCAGUAUAGGUGGGAGGCGUUGAAGAUAUCCUUGCGGGGAGAUUGGAGCUAUCAGUGAGAUACCACUCUUGUAAUGUUAGAUUUCUAACUUUGAACCAUUAUCUGGUCAGAGGACAGUUUCAGGCGGGCAGUUUGACUGGGGCGGUCGCCUCCCAAACGGUAACGGAGGCGUACAAAGGUUUCCUCUGAACGUGUAGAAAUCGUAUCUAGAGUGUAAAGGCAUAAGGAAGCUUGACUGUGAGACCUACAAGUCGAGCAGGGACGAAAGUCGGUCUUAGUGAUCUGACGGUACUGAGUGGAAAGGCCGUCACUCAACGGAUAAAAGUUACUCUAGGGAUAACAGGCUGA